GGCAUGAGCCACCGAGACUGGCCUUUUUUUUUUUUUUUAAGUAGGUUCAGAAAGAGAUGAGGAAGAAGGGAGACGAUUGCUCCAAUGGGAAUUAUACUAUCAAGUGAGGCCGCCUCCCUGGCGGUGCAGAAACGGCCCUUGUUAGAGAGAGCGGUGAUGAAUGGCUGUGUUUUACUGAAGGAAAAUUUGCUCUGAGAGCAAAAGAAAAUCUCAGUUCAACUAUUUUUUUUAAUGAAUGCUCCUCUUUUAAAAUAAGCAAAAGCUAUAUAAAUACCACUGAGUUGUAUAUGGUUCAA
rnacentral:lncRNA from 1 species